rnacentral:piRNA from 1 species
GACAACACCUGAGGCCCUCCCC